rnacentral:rRNA from 1 species
UACGUAGGGUGCGAGCGUUAAUCGGAAUUACUGGGCGUAAAGCGUGCGCAGGCGGUUUGCUAAGACCGAUGUGAAAUCCCCGGGCUUAACCUGGGAACUGCAUUGGUGACUGGCAGGCUAGAGUAUGGCAGAGGGGGGUAGAAUUCCACGUGUAGCAGUGAAGUGCGUAGAGAUGUGGAGGAAGACCGAUGGCGAAGGCAGCCCCCUGGGCCAAUACUGACGCUCAUGCACGAAAGCGUGGGGAGCAAACAGG